rnacentral:rRNA from 1 species
GACGAACGCUGGAGGCGUGCUUAACACAUGCAAGUCGAACGAUGAAAUGGAGCUUGCUCCAUGGAUUAGUGGCGAACGGGUGAGUAACACGUGAAUAACCUGCCCUUAAUUUUGGAAUAACCCAGGGAAACCUGGGCUAAUACCGGAUAAGUAAACCUGUGGCAUCACAUGGUUUUGGAAAGUUUUUCGAUUAAGGAUGGAUUCGCGGCCUAUCAGCUUGUUGGUGAGGUAAUGGCUCACCAAGGCGACGACGGGUAGCCGGCCUGAGAGGGUGAACGGCAACACUGGGACUGAGACACGGCCCAGACUCCUACGGGAGGCAGCAGUGGGGAAUAUUGCGCAGUGGACGAAAGUCUGACGCAGCGACGCCUCGUGAGGGACGAAGGUCUUCGGAUUGUAAACCUCUUUCAGCAGGGACGAAGCGAAAGUGACGGUACCUGCAGAAGAGGCACCGGCUAACUAUGUGCCAGCAGCCGCCGUAA